UAAAAUAGUUAUUCUUCUUAAUUUUUAUAUGGUUUCUUAGUUGUAAUUCAUUGUUGGAGUGAAGUAAAGAGAAGAUAAAUAUUUUCUACCUUCUUAAACUGAUUUUACUUAAUCCAUAAGCAUUCCAUGAAUUAUACAUUUUUUGAAUGCUUAGGAGUGGCCGGCCACUGUUUGGAUGGUUUUACAGUUGUUCAAACUAUUCUUAUGUUAUGGAUACCACUUUCAUUUACAUUAAACCAUUAAGAAAAAUGAACAACUUCAUUGUAAUAGUUUUUUUACUAUGAAGUCAUACAGACGAUCCAAAAUUUUGUUAUCAAAUUAUGCGGUUAUUGUGAAUGACAUAUUCCUUUGUUGGAUCUAGUUUUUUUUUAUGGGUGACACUUGAAUUUACUACUGGCAGGUGAGUUCUGAGGGUUAUGAUCUGAGAACUUUUGUGAGAAUAGAUAGAAAGGGGGAAACUCUAUGGAAAAGAUCUAUUAGCUCAAUUGUCUGUAGAGAAUGUCAAAAAGAUCCAAAAUGUUCCUUUUUGUCAUUUAUUCAUAGGGAUCCAAGGGCUAUAGAAAAUGCUAUAUAUAUUAAAUAAUAAUAAUAAUACAACAAUUAAUGACCCUUAGUAUUGAUUUUAUUCUUCUUGCAUAGCUACAAUCUAAAAUUCAUUAGCUAAGAUCUCAUUUACACCGAUGGGUUCAACCAUGGAAUAAAGAUGAUGUAAUUUAUCUCUUAUUUAAGGCUAUGUCUUGUUUUUAACUCCUGCUGAAGGAUCUCUUAUAAUCAGGUUUCCAUGGUGACUAGAUGCAUACUUUCAAUCUCUUGGUGAUGAACUUGGUAAUGAUUGUUUCAUCGUUAUUUGGUUUGUCUUCUAGGUUUAAAUUUUUUAUACUAAGUAUAAGAUCUUCCUUUUCUACGUCUUUGGGAAGAACAACACUAUCAUAUUCAUGAGUUGACUCUUCUACUAUCAUAUCAAAUGUCACAUGUGUUGGCUCUUCAACCACAAGUAUUCUCUUAUUAAAUAUUCUGUAAGUUCUCUAACAAAGGUAUACCUAGAAUUAUCGCCUCAUCAUAUUUUGCAUCAAACUUUUUCAUACUUAUUUUUAUAUUAAUUAACAUAAAAUCCUUACACCUAAAAAUAUAUUAAUGUGUUAGGUUAGGUGUUCUACCUUAAAAUAGCUCAGAAGGGCUCUUAUUCAGCUUAGGUCUUAUAUGUACACAAAAGGUUCAGAGAUGUUUGGUCAUGAGCUCAAUAUCUUCAUCAAUAGCUCCAUUCGAAUCAUUCUUGUGUUGAACACGUGGAAAGGAAGAGUUCGUAAGGAUUUUUGGCGGAGCACGUUGUAUUGAGGUGUUGAACACGUGAAAAGAAAGAGUUCGUAAGAAUUUUUGGCGGAGCAU